UACCGGAGGAUGCAAGCGUUAUCCGGAUUCAUUGGGUUUAAAGGGUGCGUAGGCGGGCUAUUAAGUCAGUGGUGAAAUCCUGCAGCUUAACUGCAGAACUGCCGUUGAUACUGAUAGUCUUGAGUUUGGUUAAGGUAGGCGGAAUGUGUAAUGUAGCGGUGAAAUGCUUAGAUAUUACACAGAACACCAAUUGCGUAGGCAGCUUACUGAGCCGACACUGACGCUGAGGCACGAAAGCGUGGGGAUCAAACAGGAUUA
rnacentral:rRNA from 1 species